rnacentral:rRNA from 1 species
CCUACGUGGUGCAGCAGUGGGGAAUAUUGGUCAAUGGGCGCGAGCCUGAACCAGCCAAGUAGCGUGAAGGAUGACUGCCCUACGGGUUGUAAACUUCUUUUAUAAAGGAAUAAAGUGAGGCACGUGUGCCUUUUUGCAUUUACUUUAUGAAUAAGGAUCGGCUAACUCCGUUCCAGCAGCCGCGGUAAUACGGAGGAUCCGAGCGUUAUCCGGAUUUAUUGGGUUUAAAGGGAGCGUAGAUGGGUUGUUAAGUCAGUUGUGAAAGUUUGCGGCUCAACCGUAAAAUUGCAAUUGAUACUGGCAGUCUUGAGUACAGUUGAGGUAGGCGGAAUUCGUGGUGUAGCGGUGAAAUGCUUAGAUAUCACGAAGAACUCCGAUUGCGAAGGCAGCUUACUAAACUGCCACUGACAUUGAUGCUCGAAAGUGUGGGUAUCAAACAGGAUUAGAUACCCUUGUAGUC